rnacentral:rRNA from 1 species
CGCUGACAGAAUGCUUAACACAUGCAAGUCAACUUGAAUUUGGGUUUUUAACUUAAGUUUGGGUGGCGGACGGGUGAGUAACGCGUAAAGAACUUGCCUCACAGCUAGGGACAACAUUUGGAAACGAAUGCUAAUACCUAAUAUUAUGAUAAUAGGGCAUCCUAUAAUUAUGAAAGCUAUAAGCGCUGUGAGAGAGCUUUGCGUCCCAUUAGCUAGUUGGAGAGGUAACGGCUCACCAAGGCGAUGAUGGGUAGCCGGCCUGAGAGGGUGAUCGGCCACAAGGGGACUGAGACACGGCCCUUACUCCUACGGGAGGCAGCAGUGGGGAAUAUUGGACAAUGGACCAAGAGUCUGAUCCAGCAAUUCUGUGUGCACGAUGAAGUUUUUCGGAAUGUAAAGUGCUUUCAGUUGGGAAGAAAGAAAUGACGGUACCAACAGAAGAAGUGACGGCUAAAUACGUGCCAGCAGCCGCGGUAAUACGUAUGUCACGAGCGUUAUCCGGAUUUAUUGGGCGUAAAGCGCGUCUAGGUGGUUAUGUAAGUCUGAUGUGAAAAUGCAGGGCUCAACUCUGUAUUGCGUUGGAAACUGUAUAACUAGAGUACUGGAGAGGUAAGCGGAACUACAAGUGUAGAGGUGAAAUUCGUAGAUAUUUGUAGGAAUGCCGAUGGGGAAGCCAGCUUACUGGACAGAUACUGACGCUGAAGCGCGAAAGCGUGGGUAGCAAACAGGAUUAGAUAUCCUGGUAGUCCACGCCGUAAACGAUGAUUACUAGGUGUUGGGGGUCGAACCUCAGC